UUAUGAGACCAGGGAAAGCAAACAGUGGGAUUCCAGAGAGCUCACCCAAUCUCCCCUGGCCUUGCAGAGCUGCUGAUAGAGUUACUCUCUGUGGAGCCUGGUGGAGAAAACCUGAGUCUAGGUGUGCACUUUUCCCCUGAGAGGAGAGCGGUUGUCGAGAGCUCUGUAACUCCUGGGAUGGAAGUUGUGACCUGACCUACACGGACAGCUACAAAGACAAAGGAUUCCUAUACCAAGAAGUUUGCAAAGGCCAACUACACCCACUCCUUCAUUUUGCCUUUAAAAAUGCUUUGGGGGUACAAGCCACCUGUGUCUUUGCAUGGUUCUGCAACACAACUUUCUCUGCUCCAGCCUCCAGUGUUUUGGUUUGUUUGACCUCACGGUGCAUUGGGUGCAUGAACUUGCAUUUGGUAACACAAGUACUAGAUCUAAAGGAAAAUAUGGACUUGGGGGGCCAUCUGGGGCUCCCUCCCCUUGCUCAGUCAUAGAUGCAGCAAGAUGACCACCAGGCCUCACAGUGCCACGGAAAUCCUGUGCUCAUGGGGCGUCACAUACUGUGUGUAUCUCCUUUGCUCACACAUUGUGCUCUAUUGUCCCAUUGGGGCUCACCUCAAAAUAUAAGUUCAAACGUGAAAUUGUUGAUAAUUUUGAGUAGCAAAGCAUUGAACCAAGCACAGGGACCCCCUGAGUGCAAGUUCAUGUCCACAAAGCUGACCCUGUCCCUCAGUAACAAGAAUCAGAAUAAUUAGCUUGGCCAAUGAGAUUCUCUCUUUUGGGAAUUUACACAAAGAUUUAAUAAUGAGAGAAGCAUCAUCACUACUUACCAAGAGAAGAAUCAGAGGAAGAAACUGUCUGAAGCACCAUAAAGAUUGUUCAUAAACUUCUGGGCCCAAGAUAUUUUCCUUAGCUUCUGAUGAUCUUCAUUACCAUCUCUGUGGUCUGAGCUUUCUUUUGACUUCUAUUACUUUCUUCAAAGAGGUAAUCACUGUUAUCAAUCCCUUAGGUAUUUGUCCUGGGAUUUUUAAAUAUAGAUUUACUGUCAAUUAAAUUAUGUCCACGUCCUAAUGUCCAGUACCUGUGAAUAACUUUAUUUGGAAAUAGGAUCUUUGCAGAUAUAAUCAAAUCACAGAUCUAAAAAUGAGAUUAUCCUGGAUUUAGAAUGACCCUGAAAUCCAAAGACAGGUGUCAUUUCAAGAGACAGGUAACCUUUGUGUCUUUGAGACACAAAGAAAAUGCCAUGUGAAGAUGCAGAGACCGAAGUGAUGCGGCCUUAAGCCAAGGACCACCUGGAGCCCACAGACACUGGGAGAGACAGGAAGGAUUCCUUCCUAGAGCCUUUGGAUGAAACAAAGCAUGGUCCUGCUGACAUCUUGAUUUGGAGUCUCUGACCUCCAGAAUUGCAGAAGAAGAAAUUUAUGCUGUUUUCAAGCCAUGAGGUUUUUGGUAAUUUGUUAACGGCAGUCCAAGGAAACUAAUAAAAACAUCUGAGCAGUA